CAAGCUCAACUUCCCUGACCCACCUGCCAAGAAACACUGUGCUGGUGCACCCAGAGCUCCCCCCGAGUUGACUCAGUCGUAUCCCGAGUUGAGUUACUCAUCCACCGAGUCGACUCAGUCCUACUUCAAUGCACUCACUCCCACCGAGUCGACUCAGUCGACCUUCAAUGCACUCUCUCCAGCCGGGUCGACUCAGUCCGAGUUGGGUUAUGACCCAGCCCAAUGCUUUGGAACAUUUCAGCCACCAAACUUCAGCCCAGCUCAAAUGGCCACUCCAGAGGAAGAGCUUGAAUUCAAAGAGCACAUCACAAGC
rnacentral:lncRNA from 1 species